GUCCUCCUACCCCUCCAGUCCAAAGGUUAUCAGAAAUACCUCCCAUGCCAGUCGUGUUUCUGCCUCUAGCAAUCCCUUGCAACUAGCUCCUAGUCCCCCCAACCAGAGGCAUCAGAUGGCCCCUGUUAUGUCUAAGCCUGUCAUGCUGCC